rnacentral:tRNA from 1 species
UAAGAGUAUAGUUUAAAGGUAAAAUAGGGAGCUUCAACCUCCAAAUUCUCAGUUCGAAUCUGAGUACUCUUGU